CCCAACUCCCAACAUUCCCUGAACACAAUUCCCACAACGCAUCUUCUUCUUUGUGAAGGAGAACCCAGCUAGAGCGCAGCCCAUCGCGAUCUAGUCCAGUGGAUCUGGCGGCCUGAGUCCACUCUCGUGAUUCGUCUUUCGCUUAUCCUCAAUAGGAAGAAUCUUCCAGGUGUGAAGAUCGUGUUUCUCUUUCGUUCUUCGCUCACAAAUCGGGAGGACGCCAUUCUAUAUCCAUUGAGAAUUUUAUGAUUUACAUCUCCUCAACCUUAUCUCUAAGAGGAAAAUUGAAUUUCAAAUUCACCCCUUUUCUUUAUCCAAUUCCCCCCUCCCCCCCAAAUUCGGCUCCAUCUUUUAAUCUAUAUAAACCCUGUCAUUCUCAGUGUUAAGGGUUGGGAAAUGACAAGAGACAAAGUGGAAGUAAACGAAAAGUUGGGACAAAAAAUGGAAAAACAACGGAAAAGGUUGGGGAAAAUAUAGAAGAAAACCAUCUUACAUUGGAAACAAAAAAUAUACUAUAAGAUAACGAGGUGCACAAAUUCAUAUACAAAAUACAUACGGAAUAGACUCUGAACGAUCGGAGGUUAGAGUUUAGUUUUGAGUUUGCUUUAUCGUUCACUGCUUAGAUUUUGUCGGAUUCUCACUUGCGGUGGUGUUGGUAAUAUAGCUCCCUUCAACUCGUUCUCGUCUCAAUUUUGCUGCCCGGAAAAGGGAAGGUACUUGCCACUUAUCUAGUCAAAUUGAAGAGAGUGCCAAGAGGAGAAAUAAGUUUCAUUUUCAUUAGUAGAGGACAUAUUAACAAAGUAAUCUAAAACCAUAUUAGCUUCUCGAUAACAAUGACUGAAGUUGACUUUGCUAGCACUUUUAUUAGUACCAUAUUAGUGAUUACAAAGGAAUUUAUUUCAAUCCUGAAACUGUUGAUUCCCUUCUCCACACAUCAACUAGGACAAAACUUGUACACUAUUUCCAGAUAUCUCAACUAAUAAAUAUGGGAGGAUUUUGAAUGAUCUGAUCAUGAACACUGCCUUUGGUCCUAACACUCCACCAAUUAUUGAAAAUUCUUCUGAUACGACCAGGCCGAUGAAUAAUGGCAAAGGAGGCACCAAUGUAAUUUCACAUAUGAGUUGCAACCUUCCCUUGUGUAAAUGUAUGUUGAAUGAAAUCUAUUAUAGGUCAGUGCAACAAUAUCAUUAAGCAUUUUAAUGAUUGCAUUAAAAUUUAGUUUCCCUUUGUAUAGCCUCCAAGCAAGAAAGAUGAUCUUAAAACGAAUAGAUACUCUUUAUUAGUACCUAUAAUUACCUUAUUAGUAACUUACUUGCAUAAAUUUUUUUAUAGUUUUUUUUAUGUGUAAUGUACAUCAUUGGGUGGCCAAGUUAGAACCCCUAGUUUCGAAGCAGAUGUGUUGUGCUACCCGACACCUAACAUUGUCACCCUCGUCCUUGACAUUAAGAAGACUCCAUGACUUAAUAAUAUUUUCGCAUGUGUAUA